UUGAGCAGACAUAUGGACUGAAUGCACCCUGGAAGCUAAGCAGUCCUGGGCCUGGCUAGUGCUUGGAUGGGAGUUCACCUCUGAGCGCCAGGCACUAGAG
rnacentral:rRNA from 1 species